rnacentral:ncRNA from 1 species
GAACGCCGUGUGCGAUGAAAGUCGCCCGCACGGUGUAUGCUCGAACGAAACCCUCACAAAGAGAAGGGGAUAAGUCGAGAAUAGCAAUCGACCUCCU